AUAAAAUGUGUAUAAAACAAGAAGUAAUUGUAACAGGAUGCUGUUACGAAGUCUCCCAAACAAAGCUCCGAUAACUCCCCAUUCAUAUGGUCCCAUGUUCAUUUGAUUUGAUUUUUUGUCCCAUACAAGAAUAUAUAUGGCUUACGAGUAGGGAUCUCAACCAUUUACAAGUUUUCAAACAGAAGGGGGUGGUGGUGACCCCAGGACUUUACCUACAUUUCAUUUGAUUUGUUUUAUUGUCCCCUACAAGAUAAUAUAUGGUUUAGGGGUGGGGAUCUGGACCGUUUACAAGAUAAAAGUACAUUCUAAAAUUGAACAGGGUGGGGGUGACCCCCAGGAACUUCCAUCUAAUUUCAUGUGAUUUGUUUUAUUGUCCCAUACAAGAAUAUAUAUGGUUUAGGGGUGGGGAUCUAGAACCGUUUUCAAGUUUUCAAACAAGAGGGGGUGGGGUGACCCCCUAUGGACUUCCCUUUUAUUUCAUUUGAUUUGUUUUAUUGUCCCCUACAAGAAUAUAUAUGGUUUAGGGGUGGGGAUCUGGACCGUUUACAAGUUUUCAACCUAGAGGGGGUGGGGUGACCCCCUUUGGACUUCCCUUUUAUUUCAUUUGAUUUGUUUUAUUGUCCCCUACAAGAAUAUAUAUGGUUUAGGGGUGGGGAUCUGGACCGUUUACAAGUUGUCAACCUAGAGGGGGUGGGGUGACCCCCUAGGGACUUCCCUUUUAUUUCAUUUGAUUUGUUUUAUUGUCCCCUACAAGAAUAUAUAUGGUUUAGGGGUGGGGAUCUGGACUGUUUACAAGAUAAUAGUACAUUCUCAAAUUGAACGGGGUAGGGGUGACCCCCAGGAACUUCCAUCUAAUUACAUGUGAUUUGUUUCAUUGUCCCCUACAAGAAUAUAUAUGGUUUAGGGGUGGGGAUCUGGACCGUUUACAAGUUUUCAAACAAGAAGGGGUGGGGUGACCCCCUAGGGACUUCCUUUUUAUUUCAUUUGAUUUGUCUUAUUGUCCCCUACAAGAAUAUAUAUGGUUUAGGGGUGGGGAUCUGGACCGUUUAAAAGUUUUCCAACAAGGGGGGUGGGUGACCCCCAGGGACUUCUUUUUUAUUUCAUUUGAUUUGUUUUAUUGUCCCCCACAAGAAGAAUAUAUAUGGUUUAGGGGUGGGAUCUGGACUGUUUACAAGAUAAUAGCAACAUUCUCAAAUUGAAGGGGGUGGGGAUGACCCCCCAGGGCAUCCCCCUAUAUUUCAUGUGAAUUAUUUUAUUGUCCUAUUAUCAUUUCUGAAGACUGUAUGUAUCUAUCACUUAUAGUUUUCAAGUUAUAUUCAUUUAAAAAAUUUUGAAAAUAAAAUCCCAUAGGGUUCUAUAGUAAAACCCUCCCUGCUUUCUACCCCCCAAAAUACCCCUUAAUAGACCCCAAUGCACAAACGAAAGAUUGAUGGCUCACCUAGACAUAUUAGUCUACCAUUUUAUGAAACCCUAAGUAAAUCUGACAAGUGGUUUUGGAGAAACGCUGCGGACAAGUUCAUUUUUUAAAGUGGCGGAAGAAAAAGAAAAAGAAAAAGAAGAAGAAUAAUAAAAAUAAUAAGAACUGAGCAAAAACAAUAAGUCUCCAAACUUUGUUUGGGAGACUUAAUUAAA
rnacentral:lncRNA from 1 species